rnacentral:piRNA from 1 species
CUGGUUGGAUUGCAGUAAGCAGCU